UACGGGGGGGGUAAGCGUUGUUCGGAAUUACUGGGCGUAAAGGGCUCGUAGGCGGCCAACUAAGUCGGACGUGAAAUCCCUCAGCUUAACUGGGGAACUGCGUCCGAUACUGGAUGGCUUGGAUUUGGGAGAGGGAUGCGGAAUUCCAGGUGUAGCGGUGAAAUGCGUAGAUAUCUGGAGGAAUACCGGUGGCGAAGGCGGCAUCCUGGACCGGCAUUGACGCUGAACAGCGAAAGCUAGGGGAGCAAACGGG
rnacentral:rRNA from 1 species